GGCAAGAUGGCCGAGCGGUCUAAGGCGCCAGACUCAAGUUAUAAAAAACUUGGCUCUCCUCCAGGAGAGAUCUCAUUCUGGUCACGAAAGUGGCAGGGGUUCGAAUCCCCUUCUUGUCA
rfam:Microdochium bolleyi strain J235TASD1 unplaced genomic scaffold Micbo1qcscaffold_5, whole genome shotgun sequence.